GCUUAUCAAGAGCGGCGGAGGGAACAGGCCCUGUGAAGCCCGGCAACCUGCAUGGCAAGGUGCUAAAUCCUGCGGUUUUACCGGAAGAUGAGA
rnacentral:ncRNA from 1 species